AUGGCGCCAAUCUACAGCCGCUAUAGCUACAGAUUCACUAAUGCAAUGCAAUCGCAAUGCCACAGAAUAGGUAGCAAUGCCACAGAAUGAGUAUAUUACUGUAUAAGUAUGUAUACUGUGGCAAUGCAAUGCAAUCGCAGUAAAAGUUGGUUAGAAUCUUAGAAUUAUAUUGUUGGAUCAUGUCGAGUCGCUUGACUUUUUAAAGGUUUUAUUCUUUGAACCGUAACGUCUUUAGUUGUUUGUAUUUACUUGACAUGUUCAUUUUUCUAUUGUGGGUAUUGUAUUUAGAGUAUUAAUGAUAAUCAAAGAGAAUAAUAUUAUUACUGCAUAUAAACAUACCGCUGUUUUCUGUUAUUACUACAAUACUCGUACUGUAGUAAUUUGUUGGCACCAUUUGACAACAAAAUGAAAAUAUGAUAUUUACCAGAUUCGACUAGGCCUAUUACAAUUAACUCCAUCGUUACAGACUGAAGAUAUGCACUAUGAGACAAGCGGAAGAGAAAGAAAAAGUAUUUCUUUUGAGGCGGAACCAAUUUUGAGUGUACACAGAAUAUCUACGGAAGAAGAUGGAAAAAUUGCAAAGAAGAAAUACAAGGCUGGUAAAUAGGAUUCAUAAAACACUCACACAAAGGGAAUCAGAAAUAUCGACUGAGCAGUUUAUUAAAACAUAUGGAAGAUUCGUAGCAAAAAUUUAAGUGAGAUAGUAGAAAUCGAACUGGAAUCAUAAUUCAUCAAUUCAAGGGGGAUGAGAUACCGUAUAGCAAAAAUUUUAAAAUAAUGACUCUGACUUAGUUUGUGUUUUUUCAAGCAGCAAAGCAUAUAGAUUUAUGAAAAAUGUUUUAAAAAUGGGAACAACAAGGACCCAAGUAUAAAUGAUGGAGAAAUGGGAAUAUGCCCCAGGUAUUAAUGAUACCCUGGUAUUCAUUUUUUUCUUGAAAAAAUAUUUCAAGUUUGAAAUUGAGGAUAAGUGAUAUAAACGAGGUAGAGAAUCAUUGUGUAUUAAGCUCUGAUGAAAUGACAUUGAAAUAGUCUCUUUUUUAAUGUAUUUCUGAGAAAUUGUCGGGUUUCAUUACACUGGGAGAGGAAAACAAAUGAAGCCUGCUACUUCAGUUCUAGUAUUUAUGAUAAGAAGUAUUCAUGGAGAGUAUUCAUGGAAGCAGCCAAUUAGUUAUGAUUUCGCACUCAUUACAAAAUAAUCUCCUGCAAUAUAACUUCAGGAAUUCCUAAACCUCAAAUGUACUAGCUUCUUUGUGUCAUACACAACAGUUUUAUGUAAAAAGUAAGAAACAGUAUCUUAGAUUAGCAAGGAAAUUAACAGAAGCACUCAUUAAUCCUAAUGGUUUUUAGAAAAUUAGAGUGACUUUGGCAGUGCAAGUUUCAGUCACACUGUAGCAAGUGUUUACACUCAUGUAAGUCUAGGAUCCUUGAACACUACUGCAAUGGCCACUGCCAAGUUCAUUGAAACUUGCAAAAAUGUUUUUAUUUAUUCAUGCAAAACUCCAGAAAAAGUGGCUAGCAAAUAUGAUAUAUGGAAAGGAACAAAUGGAGUUGAUUCGAAAAUUCACAACGUAAUUGAAGGUACCUAUUAAUAGGGAGGUAGAAAGUGUUACUGCCACUAUGAAGUGCUUCAAAGGCUUGCAAACAACCAUCGCAGCUUUUAUAAAAUUUUGGGAAAGUUCGAAAAACGUUUUCAUUCAUAAAGAAGCUACAAGUUGUUUCAACCAAGAUUGUACAGAAAACGUCUUUGGAUCCAUCCGACAACAAGAAGGCAACGGAGGAGCAGAUACUUCCAAUUCGACAUCUAUAUACGCACAUUUCAAAGUGAAGACGAUAGCAAGAGUGGAUUUUAUGGGAAUAUGAAGAGUGCAGACUCUGAAUUCAUUAAAUUUGGACUAAUGAAAUGGACGAGUCGGUGUGGCUUCCUCCUCACUUCACCUAGAUUCGGAGUACCAGCACAUAAUCUUUGACAAGAGUGCUGUGUGCUGGUGUGUUCAGAGUACUGGAGUCUUCGUCAGAAGACGAAUAUUCGAGUUGGAAUAUCCAUCAGAUCAUUCGUUCCGGAAAGCAUAGAAGAGAUGAAGACUAGCAAUACAAGGAUUGAUUAUCAUCUUGAAGGAUUUCCAUUGAAGAAAACUGACCUGAGCUAACGUGACAUUAAUUGAAUAUCUGCUUCUAGAGCUUCUGUAAGUGCUUCAAUGUUUAGUAAUUAGUUUCAAGUUCAUGAGACCACAACUUUGUCGAUGAGGAAUUGAUAUAGAGGAUAGAUAAAUUGGAGAUAUUGAUUGAUGCUCUGAUAAAAAUUAUUGUUAAGAUGUUAAGAAAAAUUGUUAAGAUGAUGAUAUGUAACUUUGUUAAGAAAAUAGUUAUUGAUGUAGAUUGAAUAUGUAGGUACAUUAUUUUACAAAUUACUUGGACCUUCAGUCAUAGCCUACUUAAUUUUUCAAAAUCGAUUAUAUUUUUCAAAAUUCUAACCAAUUUAUGGUUCAAAUUCGUCCUCAAUCCUAGAGUUCCUGCCCUAUUGCAUCAUUACUACAUUCUCUCUUCAAUCAAACACUCUCAUUUUUAAAUAUGUUUCUAUUCUGACUGAUACAGAGACUAGAUUAAUUUUUUCAAUUGUCUUUGACAAAAUAAAGCCUUCAUCAAUAAUAGUCCUAGAAUCUGAACUUUAACCUUUUUGUUGCUCAAGACGACUCUCGUCGAUUCGGUCUCUUUCCUUUUCUGUGCAUAAUUGAAUUAUAUCCAUUUGCUCAGAUUUCACAAUUAGAAACAGAACACUUUUCACCUAUUUACUCCUACCCAUAUUAAAUGAGCCUGUUAAAAGCAAAGUGGUGUAAGUCACAUCGGCUGCAUUCUGAGAUAUUAAGGUCCAAAGUUCGACCCCUUUCAUAAAUUAAUGAAUGCAUUUAUCCAUUUUUCAAUUGAAAAAACCAAUAAUGAGGGAGUGGAUUAAAAUAUAGAGCUAUUUUGAAAGCAAUUUUAAUGAAUUUUCAUAGUUUUAUCAAGUUUAGAAAUGUUUAAAGGACUUACACCACUUUUCCAUUAAACAUAAUAUGCAAUCAGGAUAUUAAUUGUUAACUAUUAAUAUGAAAAUCAUGAUGAAGUAUGUAUUUAAUUAAUAAGAUUCAAGAAAAAUUAUAAGAUAUUAUUGUUAUCAUGAUUAUUUAUGUAAUUUUCACUUCAAUCGGAAUCUGAAAGCUGUUCGUCAAUGGCUUCAGGUAGAGGUCCCAUGUCUUCUCCGGUCUCAGAUGUUUGGAGGUUUAGAAAUAAUUCUUGACUGAUUGGGGGUUGUACGGCAAAAGAUCCAUCAUGUCCUUUUUCUUAGCUUCAGUCACAGGACGCACUCCACUGUACAGUUUAUCCAUUGAUAUUGAGGGAAGAGAUACUCGCCGUCCACGUUGUUUGGUUGGUGUGAUGUCAAUUUGUGAAAAAGGCAUGUCUUCUGAGAGAGUCUCCUUGAAGAAAACUGUGAAAGGCUCACUCUUCCUAUACUGCAACCACUGUAUCUUGAGCCAGUUCACGGGAAAUCCAUCUGUUGAACACUUCCUUCUUGUCACUCUACUCUCCAAGCUUUUUGUUGACAAAAAGUCAUCACCAGUCAUUACACUUAGAUGAAAUGGAUUUUUUUUCUGGCCUGGACAAUGAUUUCAUACCAAUCUCUGGGGCAGAAAAUUUGUCUUGUUUUACUGUGAUUCUCAAUACUGGCAAAAUCACAGUCACUAGGCAGGAACGAGUGUCCACUUUGCAUGAACUUUUGAUCAAUCACUUCAACCUCUCCACUACUUGCACUCUGAAUAAAUCUCAUCAAUGUCAGUGCCAUUUGAAUUUUCUGUUCUGACCUGUACAGCUGUCACUGUACAUAACAACCUGCUUGGCUGAAGAUGCUCUAGUUUGUAUGUGUUUUACAACACAAGCAGCAAUUUCCUGAGAACCACGAGAUCCAACAGUCUCAUCCCAGCAAUACAUAAAACCAAGCUUUGUUGAAAGCUCAUGACAACCAAGGUUGUACAAAUAGCAGUUCCGCUUGUAGUAAGCAACUUGACAUGUAAGUUUAGGAAAUGCUAGGGACUUUUCAGGAUCAAAAGUAAAAGAAUAGAAAGAAUUGUCUAAUUUUGAUCUCUCAGUGUCAGCCAACAUGUUUUUCCUAGCACUCUCUGCUUUCCUCAAAUAAAGUUCAUGUUGCAUGUCAAGUGCUCUUUUCUGUUCCUCAUCAACUAUGAAGUCAACCUUGUUUUUAUAGAUAUCACACUCUGUACAAGUGUCCUUAUGUGGUGCAUGAAAUGGAGAAUGAACUCGGUAUUGAAUGUUCGCCGAUAGAUUGGCUCCUUGACUGGGUUCAAUUUUUUUUCAAUACAAUAACUUUUGUAUAGGUUGUACAUCAAACGAAUAUUCAAAUUUUCUGACAGAAAUUUCCUAUUUGGGUUAUAUGCACUUGUGUAAUGCGAUUCAUAUAACUCGUCCAUAUAACUCAUCUUAACUUCAAACUUGAAAAUAUGAAAUCAUUAAUACCUGGGGCUUUUUCCCAUUUCUCCGUCAAUUAUCCUUAUGUCCUUCAAAUCUUGAUUUAUGAAUUUCAUUUAUUUAUUUAGCGUAUGGCAGCAUAUAUACGCAACAUGAAUCGUUUAUGAAUUAUUUAUGAAAAUCAAUAAAUAAAAUAGUCGUAUUCUUAUGAAGAGCUUCAAAAGAUACACCUUUGGAAAGUUUACACAAUGAUGAGUGUAAGGAAUUUCUUUCAAAAGAUAUGGUAGUUUCAUCCCUACAUUUUUAUAAAGGGCAUGGAUUGAAAUAUUUGAAAUGAAUCUUCUCUCUAGAUCACCUAUAAAUUCAAUGAAUUCGGAGUCCGAACUCUUCAAAUUCCCAUAAAAUCCACUCUUGCUAUCGUCUUUGCUUUGAAAUGUGCGUAUAUAGAUGUCAAAUUGAAAGAAUCUGCUCCUCCUGUAGAAUAUUUGUUACAUAUUUCACAUUCUUGAAUAACAAAAAUUUUUCCAGCAAAUAUCCACAAACAUUUUGCAGCGCAUUUUGUUUUGGCAAAUCUAAUGACCGGUAACCUGAGAAGUUGGAGUCAAAUUUCUCCAAACAAUGAUUUCUCUGUAACUUUUUCAGGUGUAUUGAACAAAUAUCUUCGUUUUGGGACAUUUUUGUCAGAAGGAUGUCAAUGUCAUUUGCACAAUUUUUGAUUCAUUGUGUUGAGAAUACUACAAAAAUGCUACUUUUUCAAAUGAUCUAAUAAAAUGAAUUGAAGUUGGA